rnacentral:rRNA from 1 species
UACGGAGGGAGCUAGCGUUGUUCGGAUAUACUGGGCGUAAAGCGCACGUAGGCGGCGCCGUAAGUCAGGGGUGAAAUCCCGGAGCUCAACUCCGGAACUGCCCUUGAAACUGCAGUGCUAGAAUCUUGGAGAGGCGAGUGGAAUUCCGAGUGUAGAGGUGAAAUUCGUAGAUAUUCGCAAGAACACCAGUGGCGAAGGCGGCUCACUGGCCCGAUACUGACGCUGAGGCACGAAAGCGUGGGGAGCAAACAGG